rnacentral:rRNA from 1 species
AUGUGAGAAUCAUAAUGGCCGAAAAUCUAAGGUUUCCUGAGGAAGGUUCGUCCGCUCAGGGUAAGCCGGGAGCUAAGGUGAGGCGGAAACGCGUAGCCGAUGCACAUACGGUAGAGAUUCCGUAGCCUCCGAAAAGUAAAGCACAGGGACGCUUCAGAAGUGUUACGCCGGGCGAUGGUAGCCCCGGUUGUAAAGGACACAAUUGAGUGGAAGGUAACAUGGAUGGAGACAAGAAAAGCUGUGUGUAUCUGGAAGGAGCCCGUACCGCAAACCGACACAGGUAGAUAGGAAGAAGAUUCUAAGGCCAGCGGGAGAAGGGUUGUUAAGGAACUCGGCAAGUUGACCCCGUAACUUCGGGAGAAGGGGUGCUUACGAAGGUAAGCCGCAGAGAAUAGGCCCAAGCGACUGUUUAGCAAAAACACAGCUCUAUGCUAAAUCGAAAGAUGACGUAUAUGGGGUGACACCUGCCCGGUGCUGGAAGGUUAAGAGGAGAUGUGAGAGCAUUGAAUUGAAGCCCCAGUAAACGGCGGCCGUAACAAUAACGGUCCUAAGGUAGCGAAAUUCCUUGUCAGGUAAGUUCUGACCCGCACGAAUGGUGUAACGAUUUGGGCACUGUCUCAACAACCUACCCGGCGAAAUUGUAGUACCGGUGAAGAUGCCGGUUACCCGCGACUAGACGGAAAGACCCCAUGGAGCUUCACUGUAGCUUAAUAUUGAAUUUUGGUAUUUCAUGUACAGGAUAGGUGGGAGACUGGGAAAUACAGGCGUCAGCUUGUAUGGAGUCACUGUUGGGAUACCACUCUUGAGGUGCUGAAAUUCUAACCUGCGUCUUUGAAUCAAGACGGGGGACAUUGUUAGGUGGGCAGUUUGACUGGGGCGGUCGCCUCCAAAAGAGUAACGGAGGCGCUCAAAGGUUCGCUCAGCAUGGACGGAAACCAUGCCAAAGAGUGCAAACGCAAAAGCGAGCCUAACUGCGAGACUGACGGGUCGAGCAGUAACGAAAGUUGGAGUUAGUGAUCCGGCGGUAUGUGAGUGGAAAUGCCGUCGCUCAACGGAUAAAAGCUACCCUGGGGAUAACAGGCUGAUCUCCCCCAAGAGUCCACAUCGACGGGGAGGUUUGGCACCUCGAUGUCGGCUCAUCGCAUCCUGGGGCUGAAUUCGGUCCCAAGGGUUUGGCUGUUCGCCAAUUAAAGCGGUACGCGAGCUGGGUUCAGAACGUCGUGAGACAGUUCGGUCCCUAUCUGUCGUGGGCGUAGGAUAUUUGAAAGGAGCUGUCCCUAGUACGAGAGGACCGGGAUGGACGCACCUCUGGUGAACCAGUUGUCACGCCAGUGGCACGGCUGGGCAGCUAAGUGCGGAACGGAUAAACGCUGAAAGCAUCUAAGCGUGAAGCCGACCUUAAGAUAAGAUAUCCGUUCUUCGGAAUAAGACCCCUUGUAGACUACGAGGUUGAUAGGCUUAAAGUGUAAGCAUGGUGACAUGUUUAGCUUGCAAGUACUAAUCGGUCGAUUGCUUUU